CCACGGCAGACACCCACGACACUACUGUUACAUAGAGUAUAUCCUAUGGAUCUACGCAACCACGGCAGACACCC
rnacentral:sRNA from 1 species